GAUCGCUCCCCCUUGCAAGGAAAGGCGGCUGAGCACCCAUGCUGAGAGGCAGUCGAACCAGUGCUUCAGCCUCUCGCCUUUGGCGUUAAUUCCUAACACAACUCCACCUUAACAGAAAGGGACACGCGACAGUCAGCUCAGCUGGUGAAGUAAGCCAAGUGGUGCCAGCACAGAGAGGCAGACAAGUCUAACACUGCUGUGCUACCAGCUGCCUCCAGCCAGCGCCAUGCAGCCGGACGCUGCAAACCUGCUCCAGCUACCAGGAUGCAUUUGGAAACAGCCGGCUCGGAGGGGUCAGUGUGAGGGGGGGCUCUGCUGCUCUAUCCCACAUGCAUCAGGGGAGACAAACAGCUCUGCAGGACACCCAGCUCCUAAGGCUGACCUGUGGGCAGCCCAGAGAGGGAGAGCAUGGAGAUGGCUGCUGGCCUAGUCAGGAGCAGUGUCUAGCCUGGACCUUGGCUGCUCUAGGGUAGAAAUUUCUGUGCUGUGCAGGGGGCAGGGGCUCGGCUCCAGAAGGCACCGGAGGGGGCUCCUGGAGCCUGGUGGCUGCAGCACUGUGUGGGGAGGUCGGUGAGAUGCCAGGUCAAAGCCCCUGGGGGUGGGGAGAACCUGCAUCUCCAGCUCCUGAUGCCGAACACACAAGGGCUGCACCCCCGUUCCCCCGCCAGUGACUGGCUCCAUCGUCCAUCCCUCCUGUACUCCUUUUGUUUCCUCUUCUGCACGCUUGCACACUGGAUUUCCUCAGCAGCAUCCAGUGACAGGUGGCUUGUUUGUUCAGCUAGAAACCCUCUUGGUUUUUGCAGGUCCCUUUGGGGGGCGGGGGGAAGGGGAGGAGGCUGAGAAAAGGAAGGUCAGGUACAUCGCAGGGCCAAUUCUACACACUGAGGAGCAGAGGUGGACACAGAGCAGGGCUGGAAACGACCGUCCACCCAGAGGGUGCUGGGAGGUAACAAACUCGCCCUGGCAACAGAUCACUAAGUGCACGAGCAAGAGGACACCAGCUGCAUGGGCCUCAAACCAAAGACAAACCAGACCCCCACUUUCAUGCUCCUCUGGCUUUAAUGAAGGGGUAGAACAGAGAUACAAGUCCCUUUACCUGUGCUCCUGUUUGCUGCACAGCUGGUUUUGAAGCUGAAGGUCGGGUUGAGAUGGAGGAGGAGAGCAACAGAAGGAGAGAAGA